rnacentral:rRNA from 1 species
GACGAACGCUGGCGGCGUGCUUAACACAUGCAAGUCGAACGGAAAGGCCCUGCUUUUGUGGGGUGCUCGAGUGGCGAACGGGUGAGUAACACGUGAGUAACCUGCCCUUGACUUUGGGAUAACUUCAGGAAACUGGGGCUAAUACCGGAUAGGAGCUCCUGCUGCAUGGUGGGGGUUGGAACGUUUCGGCGGUUGGGGAUGGACUCGCGGCUUAUCAGCUUGUUGGUGGGGUAGUGGCUUACCAAGGCUUUGACAGGUAGCCGGCCUGAGAGGGUGACCGGCCACAUUGGGACUGAGAUACGGCCCAGACUCCUACGGGAGGCAGCAGUGGGGAAUAUUGCACAAUGGGCGGAAGCCUGAUGCAGCAACGCCGCGGGCGGGAUGACGGCCUUCGGGUUGUAAACCGCUUUCGCCUGUGACGAAGCGUGAGUGACGGUAAUGGGUAAAGAAGCACCGGCUAACUACGUG